UGUUUAAAUUUUUAAAAUAAAUUGUCUCGUAAUAUAGUUAACAUAAUCAAUAAAAGCUUAUUAUAUAUUAAUUACCAAGUGAUAGCAUGCCAAUAAGACUAAACACUAGACCAAGCUACAGCAAAAAGAAUGGGAUCAGUACAAGAUAUUAGGUUAGUUCAAACAGCAAAGCCCAAUACAAAAAGAAUAAAAAAAAAUUUCAUCUUAGAUGGAGGAUUUUGUUAGCAAAUGAUGAUGAGAGUGUGAAGCAGAUGAGUUGGAGAGUUAUUUACGGGGUUUUUUUAGAGUGGAGGAAGCAUAUUUUGUUUUCAUAUAUGCAUGAAUUAUAAGGUUUUAUAAGAAGUUAUUCCUAAUUUGAAAAAGGAAAUUUAAUUUCAUCUUACAUAUUCUCUGUUCUUUCAAUUUGAUUUAGUAAUAAUAAUUCAUACACUACUUUUUUCUAUAAUUUUUUACUUGCAUUUUUACAAUAUUGUUACAAUUAAUCUUAAUAUGAGCUAUCAGUGGUGCUCUCGUUGAGAGGGAAGGAUGGCUUCCGAUAAACUCUAGCAAAACAAAGAAAAAAAUCGUUAUUCUGCAACAGAAUCAUGUGGAGGUUGCCAGUCAAGUCUCCAUCACGAGUAUCCACAUGGAUGGUUUGGAAGAGUCAUUGAGAGAGAUUCAAAGUAUGUUGACAAAAGCUCUCAGAUUGAAGCAAGUGACACCAGACGGUGAUGCGGGAUCCUCAACCUUUCAUUCACAACCAUCAUUCUACCAACUAAGAGGUUUGGUCGGGAUCAGUACUACGACUCCAAAGCUGUCCUUAAAGAAUUAAAGCAAACCAAUAUAGUGGCCAAAUACCAAGGGUAGUUUGAAGAUCUAACAACCAGGUUACAGGCCUCAGUGAUGAUUGGGUGAUCUCCUUAUUCAUUGAGGGUCUUCAAGAGUACCUAAAAUGUGAGUUAUUGUUAGCUAAGCUGACUUCAUAUGUUAAUGCAGUAUCAUUGGCAAAGAUCUAUGACCAGAAAUAUGCAAUGAACCCAAACCAAAAAACCAACAUCACACACACCAAACACCAUCAAAUCUAUACAAACCUCAUCCCAAACCAACUUUAACAAUUCAUCCAUGAACCGCCCUUGGAACAAAUUAGUCAUUCUCAAUUCUCUCUCUUUCGCAUACAACCAAACAACUACACAAGACACCCACCAUAUAACCCUCCCUUUAAGAAACUUUCGACUGAAGUUAAGAUGAAGAGGGAUAAAGACCUAUGUUACUAGUGUGAGGAUAAGUGGACAUCUGGGCAUAAAUGUAUAACCUCUUGUUACUUGUUGAUCGGAGAGGAAGAAAUGCAUGAGAUCUUAAAAGAAUUCGAACCAGAGGUUGUUUAUAAACCAGGCAUGGAAGGGCCAAUUGUGAUAGAGGUGCUCCAACCGGAGGUUAGUUUUAGUGCCAUGGUGGAUCAAUAUCACUCCAAGUAUGGGACCUAUAAUGGACAACCGAUUAUAGUGCUGAUUGAUAGGGGAAGUUUCUAUAAUUGUGUGAAGGCAAGUGUGGCAGAGAGACUGGAGUUUCCAAUUCAGCAAAUCACACCACUCUAGGUUCUAGUUGAUAAUAGAUAUAUGAUUGGUUGCAAGGCUUAUUGUGAAAAUAUCCCUCUAGUAAUGCAGGGGUAUCAAUUUUUCAUUAGCACCUUUGUGAUAGUUCUCCAAGGGGCUGACAUUGUCCUAGAGAUUCAACAGAUCAUGUGCCUAGGUUAUGUUACUAUGCAUUAUGGGUUGCUUAUGAUGGAAUUCAUGGUGAAUAAUAUUUUGGUAAAGCUUCAAGGUGAGCGGUUGCUCCAACCUGAUGCUAUUAGCAACAAAAUGUUCCAAAGGAUAGUUUCUUCAGAGGUUUUCACUACUUUGUACCAUCUAAAAGUGGUGACUGACAAUGAGAAAGGCAAAAGUUUGCUGCAGCCCAAAUUACAACAAUUAUUAGGAGAGUACAGCCAGGUUUCGAAGAGCCAACUCAGUUGCCCCCUCACCGCAAUAUUGAUCAUACCAUCACUCUGGACCUGGAAUCACAACCGGUGUGUAUUCAACCUUAUAGGUAUCCUCAUUUUCAGAAAGAGGAUAUUGAGUGUUUGGUGGCAGAGAUGCUUGAGACGGGCAUAAUUUGGGAGAGUCAGAGUACUUUUUCCAGCCCAAUUUUGUUGGUUAAGAAGAAAGAUGGGAGUUGAAAAUUUUGUGCCGAUUAUAAGGUCCUAAACGUAAUCACUAUUAGGAAUAAAUUUCAUAUUCUCACCAUUGAUGAGAUAUUAGAUGAACUCUUUGGUGCAGCUUAUUUUUCUAAGAUUGAUUUGCGGUCCAAUUAUCACCAAAUUAGAAUGAAUAAGAAUUCUAUUCCCAUGACGGCUUUCUGCACGCAUCAAGGGCAUUAUAAGUUUGUAGUGAUGUCCCUCGGUCUCACUAAUGCUCCUUCAACUUUUCAGGUUACAAUGAAUAAGGUUUUUCAUUGUUACUUGUGAAAGUUUGUUGCUGUUUUCUUUGAUCAUAUCCUAGUCUAUAGUAAGACUUGAGAUGACCACUUAUAUCAUCUUGGACUUCAUAUCCACUACCCUUUUCCAGCACCAGCUAUUUACUAAGAGGUCAAAAUGCCUCUUUGGCUGG